GACAGGCUUCGAUCUAAUGUAAUUCAUUUAUCUUUGUAUUUCUUUCUUUUUUUUUUUUCUACGAAUCCACUUCCAUGAAAUCUUCUCUCUAAAGCUAAAUAUAAUUUAUUCGAGAAAGGACUUGGAAAAAAAGUUGGAAAGAAACGUUUUCUGCCAGAAAACUAAACUAUCCUUUGCGUGGACGCGAUCCAACAAUAGCAUGCAGUUUCAACUAUUGAUCCGGAAGAAUAAAAUAUUUUGGCAAACUGUUAUUCCAAGAAAAUAAUGUCACUGGGUUAGUAAGUGGAUUACCAGUUUCUUAUAGAGGAGAAGUAAACCGAAGCACGUGAUUUAUAGGUUUACGAGGAAAUCGAUGGGAGUUCAAUCGAUACGGUUCUCGGGUUAUUUUAGUUCUUCUAUAGGUAUCGCAAGAUAUUCAUUCAAAGAGCCGUCGAUCGAUUGUUCUUUUGACUUCAUGUGAACCUUCACCUACAAGGUGUGGCCAUAACUUUAAGGUUAUCUUAUCAGAAAAGGAAAUUCAGAACGGAUAUUAUUAGCCUGCACGCGACGAAUCCUUAAUCGCCACUGCAUUUAUCAUUAACAAUUGCCAUUUGUUGGAUUGUUUCGUAUUUACAAAUUUUAAAAAGAAUAUGAGUACAGGAUGAUUCAGGAAUGCCUAAGGCUAGUGAUCGAGGGGAGUCACCAUGACGACCGACAUGGUCGAUUCCAACGUCUCUCGUCCACCAGAAGAAAAUAAACAAGCGAGAUCCAAGGAUAUUUUUUCAAAUAUCAUCGAUGAUCGAUCGAAGAGAAAUUCAAAUAAUUAAAUAAAAUAGAUAACGAGAACGGAAUGUAAGAUUCUGUGUCUUUCAAUUACUCAAUUUGCCUAAUUUGAGAUUUCAUAUUUCUAUGUUUACCUUCUUUCUCUAUGACACUUGCUCGCUAAAAAUUUCAUUUCGAUCGACCACGUGUACCAUUCUCAAGUUCAACCAAGAUUCUGCAUUGUUAUCAUUCAUUUUUUCGAUUAAUAACGUUUAUUUUCGAUUAAUGUAAUACCUUUUCAAAAAUUUAUAAUUUUUUUUUACGUCGAUAAAAUCGAUUUAUUCACUUGACAACGAUACGAUUAUAAAUUGUUGUGAACGAGCAAAUUCUAACCUGCAAUAUUAUCAUUGCAAAAAAUAUCAUAUAAUAAAUAUAUAAUGUUAAUAUUUA